GCUUGACUGUAUCUUGGAAUUGGGUUCGGGCUUUUCUUGCGCAGACUAGGUGGGAGGCUAUGAAGAUUUUCUUCUGGGAAAGUUGGAGCCAACAGUGAGAGACCACUCUGGAAAGGCUAGAAUCCUAAUGGUGAUCCUUGAAUCAGGACACUUGACAGUUUCAGGUGGGCAGUUUUUCUGGGCGGAAGCCUCAUAAAAGGUAACUGAGGCGCGCAAAGGUCCCCUCAGUCUGGACGGAAAUCAGACAUUGAGUGUAAAGGCAAAAGGGGGCUUGACUGCAAGACCCACAAGUCGAGCAGGGGCGAAAGCUGGCCUUAGUGAUCCGACGGUGCCGUGUGGAAGGCCGUCGCUCAACGAAUAAAAGUUA
rnacentral:rRNA from 1 species